GGAUUAGGCAUGCAAGUCGAACGAGAACGGCUCCUUUCGGGGGCUUAGUAAAGUGGCGGAAGGGUGAGUAACACGUAGACAAUCUACCCCUGAGACGGGGACAACCCUCCUAACGGAGGGCUAAUACCCGAUAUUCUCACGGAGUCGCCUGGCUCUGUGAGGAAAGAUAGCCUCUGUUUCAAGCCUUCGCUCAGGGAAGAGUCUACGUCCUAUCAGCUUGUUGGUGGGGUAACGGCCUACCAAGGCUAUGACGGGUAUCCGGCCUGAGAGGGUGGUCGGGCACACUGGGACUGAGACACUGCCCAGACUCCUACGGGAGGCUGCAGUCGAGAAUCAUCCGCAAUGGGCGAAAGCCUGACGGUGCGACGCCGCGUGGAGGAUGAAGGCCUUCGGGUUGUAAACUCCUGUCACCUGUUAUGAACAGCGGGAAGUGAAUAGCUUGCUCGUCUGACAAAUGCAGGAGAGGAAGCACCGGCUAAUUCCGUGCCAGCAGCCGCGGUAAUACGGAAGGUGCGAACGUUGCUCGGAAUCACUGGGCAUAAAGAGCUCGUAGGCGGUCUGCCAGGUCUGGGGUGAAAUCCCUCGGCACAACCGAGGAAUUGCCCCAGAAACCGGCAGGCUAGAGGGCAGGAGGGGAGAGCGGAAUUCCUGGUGGAGCGGUGAAAUGCGUAGAUAUCAGGAGGAACGCCGGCGGCGAAAGCGGCUCUCUGGUCUGUUCCUGACGCUGAGGAGCGAAAGCUAGGGUAGCAAACAGGAUUAGAUACCCUGGUAGUCCUAGCCGUAAACGAUGGGCACUAAGUAGAGGGGUUUU
rnacentral:rRNA from 1 species